GCAUAUCAAUAAGCGGAGGAAAAGAAACUAACAAGGAUUCCCCUAGUAACGGCGAGUGAAGCGGGAAGAGCUCAAAUUUGAAAUCUGGCAGUCUUCGAUUGUCCGAGUUGUAAUCUAUAGAGGCGUUUUCCGUGCCGGACCGUGUCCAAGUCUCCUGGAAAGGAGUAUCAAAGAGGGUGAUAAUCCCGUACUUAACACGACCACCGGUGCUCUGUGAUACGUCUUCUACGAGUCGAGUUGUUUGGGAAUGCAGCUCAAAAUGGGUGGUGAAUUCCAUCUAAAGCUAAAUAUUGGCGAGAGACCGAUAGCGAACAAGUACCGUGAGGGAAAGAUGAAAAGCACUUUGGAAAGAGAGUUAAACAGUACGUGAAAUUGUUGAAAGGGAAACGAUUGAAGUCAGUCGUGUUCUUUGGAUUCAGCCAGUUCUGCUGGUCUACUUCCUUGGAACGGGUCAACAUCAGUUUUGUCCGGUGGAUAAAGGUAGUAGGAAUGUGACUUCUCCGGAAGUGUUAUAGCCUAUUAUCACAUACACUGGGUGAGACUGAGGACUGCAGCUCGCCUUUAUGGCCGGCCUUCGGGCACGUUCGAGCUUAGGAUGUUGACAUAAUGGCUUUAAACGACCCGUCUU
rnacentral:rRNA from 1 species